rnacentral:rRNA from 1 species
UACGUAGGGGCCGAGCGUUGUCCGGAGUUAUUGGGCGUAAAGCGCGCGCAGGCGGCUUUGCGCGCCCGACGUGAAAGCCCCCGGCUUAACCGGGGAGAGUCGUUGGGGACGGCGGAGCUUGAGGGCGGGAGAGGUCGGUGGAAUUCCCGGUGUAGUGGUGAAAUGCGUAGAUAUGCGGAGGAACACCGAUGGCGAAGGCAAUCCCCUGGGCCUGCACUGACGCUCAUGCACGAAAGCGUGGGGAGCAAACAGG